rnacentral:lncRNA from 1 species
CUCAAUCUGCUCUUAAAAUGGCUGAAUGGAUUUUUCCUCGUGCUCAAGUAGACGAGACAAUUCAUCAGACACUUAUUCAUCACUUUCUUCCUCAGCCUCAAACACAGAGAAUUCAAAGUUUGGAGUAGGAGUAGGAUCAUUGUAUUCAAUGGGUUUAGGAACCAACCUACAUAAUGAUUUGAUAUUUUGAUUUUAUAGAAGUGGAUUGUGACCAAAUAUUAUGCAGAUGGACA